CCCGCCCCCAGGACACAUGACAUGUAUGUUAGAGGGUCACACACGGUCCCCCCUCUGAUCUUUAUUACAGACAUUUUUUAUAUCCUGUAGAUUUAGGAUGGAAAUACCUCUAAACAGAAUUUCCUAUAAGAACAGGAUUACUGUAUAUAAAGGAUCUCAUCAUAAUAAAAUGAUUAGAUGUAUGUGAUAUUUAUAUCGUAUUUUAUUAAACUAUGUGUGGCAUUGAAUACUUUUGGGUUGUAUGACAUAAAUCUAUUCAAAAAUAACACUAAUUUAUAUAUCCAAAGGUAUUUAACAUUGCUGCAGACAUUUUCCUUCCAUACUUCUGUAGACAGCUUCUAGUUGUCAUUAUGACAUCACGAUGAUGUAACGAUACUGAGCCGGGUAUGUAAAGGGAGACCGGCCGGCUGAGUCCUUUGAGGGUUGUAGGUGAGCAGAGGAGGUUGUGUUCCUGAGGUUCAGUUGGUGCAGUUUGUGGUUGCGGCCAUUAUGGCAGUGUACAUUUUUGGGCGAGUGCUGAAUUACAUCUGGCACAAAAUGAUGGAUUGGGGCAGAGGGAGUCUGGAGAGGAAAAGAGAGCCUGACCCCGAGAAUCCAUUGGAAGAUCCAAUUGAAAAUCCAUUAAAAGAUUCCUUUGAAGAUCCAUGGUAUGAAAUUAAGGAGGAAGAGAUAAUUGAAUGGAUCAAUCCAGUGGCGGGCUAAGGGCUAAAGAAAAAAAACAUGUAGAAGAUUCCAUCAUACUUACAAUGUUUAUUUAACAUCAAACUAUAAUAUAAAAUCAGUUAAAAAAUAAACAUUAAAAAAUCU